GCGCGUAAAUUGCCCGAAUCCUGACACAGGGAGGUAGUGACAAGAAAUAACAAUACAGGGCUUCUAAAGUCUUGUAAUUGGAAUGAGUACAAUUUACAUCUCUUCACGAGGAUCAAUUGGAGGGCAAGUCUGGUGCCAGCAGCCGCGGUAAUUCCAGCUCCAAUAGCGUAUAUUAAAGUUGUUGCAGUUAGAACGCUCGUAGUCGGAUUUCGGGGCGGGUCGACCGGUCUGCCGAUGGGUGUGCACUGGCCGACGCGUCCUUUUUUCCGGAGACCGUCUCACUCUUAACUGAGCGGAGGCGGGAGACGGAAUUUUUACUUUGAAAAAAUCAGAGUGUUUCAAGCAGGCAGCUCGCUCUUGCAUGGAUUAGCAUGGGAUAAUGAAAUAGGACUUUGGUGCUAUUUUGUUGGUUUCGAACACCGAAGUAAUGAUGAGAAGGGACAGUCAGGGGCACUCGUAUUCC
rnacentral:rRNA from 1 species